CAGGCCUAACACAUGCAAGUCGAACGGUCCUUCGGGAUAGUGGCGGACGGGUGAGUAACACGUGGGAACGUACCCUUAGGUUCGGAACAACACAGGGAAACUUGUGCUAAUACCGGAUGAGCCCUUCGGGGGAAAGAUUUAUCGCCUUUGGAGCGGCCCGCGUCUGAUUAGCUAGUUGGUGAGGUAAUGGCUCACCAAGGCGACGAUCAGUAGCUGGUCUGAGAGGAUGGCCAGCCACACUGGGACUGAGACACGGCCCAGACUCCUACGGGAGGCAGCAGUGGGGAAUCUUGCGCAAUGGGCGAAAGCCUGACGCAGCCAUGCCGCGUGGAUGAUGAAGGUCUUAGGAUUGUAAAAUCCUUUCACCGGGGACGAUAAUGACGGUACCCGGAGAAGAAGCCCCGGCUAACUUCGUGCCAGCAGCCGCGGUAAUACGAAGGGGGCUAGCGUUGCUCGGAAUUACUGGGCGUAAAGGGCGCGUAGGCAGACAGUUAAGUUGGGGGUGAAAGCCCGGGGCUCAACCUCGGAAUUGCCUUCAAUACUGGCUGUCUUGAGUACGGGAGAGGUGAGUGGAACUCCGAGUGUAGAGGUGAAAUUCGUAGAUAUUCGGAAGAACACCAGUGGCGAAGGCGACUCACUGGCCCGUUACUGACGCUGAGGCGCGAAAGCGUGGGGAGCAAGCAGGAUUAGAUACCCUGGUAGUCCACGCCGUAAACGAUGAGUGCUAGUUGUCGGCAUGCAUGCAUGUCG
rnacentral:rRNA from 1 species